rnacentral:lncRNA from 1 species
CUUUGUGGACUGCCCUGCAAAGAUCCAUUGUACUGUAGCUACUAUAUUUUGUUGCUCACUUUACUGUUUGCUCUAGUGGUUGGUGAGCCAUGGAAAACUUUGGUGAGACUUUGGGAAAUGUUCAAGUGUUCUAGGCAGCAAACUCCAGACAACGCAAGAAAGUGGCUUGCAAUAGCAGGAGAAAGAGAUCACUGGAGCCUUUUGGAUCUGAGUCAGUGGAAUCAGCUACUGUUUCUGUGUGGACCACUCUAUACUACCAGAGAUGAGGAAAGACUUGCUACGUUGGCAUAUAGCAGCGGAGGGAUACAGUCAGGAGGUGACAGGGUUAACAUCACAGGGCUGGUGGUAGGUAUCCUCUUUGGCACUGCGGCCAUAGCCCUGGUGGUCCUAGGCAGCUGGUUUGUCCUCAAGAAGUUCUACUGGACAGGCCCCAUUCCUUUGACUGACAGGUGUCUUGGCCAAUGACCAUCUACCAACCAACCUGUCCACCUCCGAGCUGCCCAAUCUGACAAGUCGUUACAGAACUACCCACCAACAAUGGACCAAGCAGCGGAGGAGGGAACAACAGGUGGAAUAUCGUGAGUCAUGGACUUGGGAGGAGAUUCUGGCUGGAGAGGGCCCAUGGAGGAAGUCUGGGGAGGACCGGAAUCGCUACUGGGGAACACGGCUGGCGAGGAAGCCGGAGAGGCAACCCCAAUAAUUUUCUUUGGGGGGCACACGGGUAGGUUGGCUGGGCGAGGAUUAAGUCCCAAGCCAAAUCCCCAUGUUUUUUCCAAACAACCAUUGACUGGACAGGUCCCGUGCUUUGGGGUGAUGGGUGCUGUGACGAGGCCGGGUAUUUUCAGGCCGGUAUGCGCAGUACCAGCGCCCCGCAUGUGCCAGAGGAAAGUGGGCAUCCAGCCAGUAGGGGUGAUGUCAGUCCUGCGCUCGAGACCGCCAGUGCGCCUCUACGGUCCAGUGUUUCCCGUUACACGCACUAGCCUUGAGGUGCGUGUCUCCAGGCUGGCACGUCCAGUACCAACACCACGCAUCAGGCUUCCAGUGCAUCAGCCCAGUCCGACUCAGCCUGUUCCCGCUCCUCGCACUAGCCCGGAGGUGCGUGUCCCCAAACUGGCACUUCCAGUACCAGCACCACGCAUCAGGCUUCCAAUGCGUCAGACCAGGUCAGAGUGUCCGGCAACAGUGCCUCGUCCAGAGUGUCCGGCAACAGUGCCUCGUCCAGAGUGUCCGGCAACAGUGCCUCGUCCAGAGUGUCCGGCGACAGUGCCUCGUCCAGAGUGUCCGGCAACAGGUGAGACGGCGUACUGUCCGGAACCAGGGGAGACGGCCCGCGACCCGGAACCAGGGGAGACGGCCCGCGACCCGGAACCGAGUGAGUCUGCCUGCGGUCCGGAUCAGAAUGAAGUUUACUAUAACUUUGAACUAUGUGAGUCUGCCUACAGCUCGGAACUAAAUGAGUCUGCCUACGGCCCGGAACCAAGUGAAUCUGCCUACGGCCCGGAGUCAAGAAAGCCUGCCUACAGUCUGGAGGACAGUAGGCCAGAACCUAAGCCACCUCCAGUAUAGGUGGGUUGGGGAGGGGGGGGGGUGUAGCACAGGUACCGUCGUUGACGGCAGCCACCCCCCCUUCCCUCCCUUUAGUUAGGGGUUUAUUUUUUUAUUUUUUUUGAGGUGCAUCCGGGGUCUGCACCUUUAGGGGGGGGGUAGUGACACAGCCACACC